rnacentral:pre_miRNA from 1 species
AAUGUACUCCCUCAGUCCAACAAAAAAUAUCUUAAGUUUGUCAAAAUUUGGAUGUAUAUAGACAAGACUUAGUGUAUAAAUGUAUUCAAAUUUAGUCAAGUUCAGACAUCCUUUGUUGGACGGAGGAAUAUCAU